rnacentral:rRNA from 1 species
AUUGAACGCUGGCGGCAUGCUUUACACAUGCAAGUCGAACGGCAGCGCGGGCUUCGGCCUGGCGGCGAGUGGCGAACGGGUGAGUAAUACAUCGGAACGUGCCCAGUAGUGGGGGAUAGCUCGGCGAAAGCCGGAUUAAUACCGCAUACGACCUGAGGGUGAAAGCGGGGGAUCUUCGGACCUCGCGCUAUUGGAGCGGCCGAUGGCAGAUUAGCUAGUUGGUGGGGUAAAGGCCUACCAAGGCGACGAUCUGUAGCUGGUCUGAGAGGACGACCAGCCACACUGGGACUGAGACACGGCCCAGACUCCUACGGGAGGCAGCAGCGGGGAAUUUUGGACAAUGGGCGAAAGCCUGAACCAGCAAUGCCGCGUGUGUGAUGAAGGCCUUCGGGUUGUAAAGCACUUUUGGCGGGAACGAAAAGGACUGUGCCAAGACCACGGUUCGAUGACGGUACCCGCAGAAUAAGCACCGGCUACCUACGU